UACGUAGGGUGCGAGCGUUAAUCGGAAUUACUGGGCGUAAAGCGUGCGCAGGUGGUGAUGUAAGACAGGUGUGAAAUCCCCGGGCUUAACCUGGGAACUGCGCUUGUAACUGGCAAGCUAGAGUGUGGCAGAGGGGGGUGGAAUUCCAAGUGUAGCAGUGAAAUGCGUAGAUAUUUGGAGGAACACCGAUGGCGAAGGCAGCCCCCUGGGCUAACACUGACGCUCAUGCACGAAAGCGUGGGGAGCAAACAGG
rnacentral:rRNA from 1 species